AUUUAUUAUAAAUGAUAAAUAAGUAUUCAUUUAAUAUUGACAGAGGAAUGUACGUAAAAAAAAGAAAUGAAGAUAAUAUCGACGUCAUCCGGAUGUCAUCGAUCCAAUAGUGACGCAAUCCUUGAUAUCCCUAUUGUCGACAGCUGUAUUGGUUCAGACCAUUAACUUCCGGGAGUAGUUCCGUCCACAAAUGGCACAAAAAUGAGACAUUUUUAUACUUCUAUGAUAGCGUCCGUGUCUCUUUGCGCCCUUUACGUCGUGUGCGCACACAUCCGCCGCUCUCAUAAACUUCUACAAACAAAGACGCUCAAGUGCGAGAAACUUCCGAGUGUCGUGUAUCUUUUCCUGAGAUAUGUGAGCCGCGCACUGACUCGGAGAAAAGGCUGCUUGCACGAGAAGAAGAAAUGCAAGCAGGAAGUAGUUUGCACUGUCAAUAACUGCAGGCUGGACUUGCUGCUUUUGAGGAGGUUCUGCGAGGCCGCGGGAUAUGGUUGGGACUACCCAGACAGUCAACACAGAGACAUCCCUCUCUGUUUCCCCGUCUUUAUGUGCCAUCAACUGAUGAUUAUGGCCAUUACUGAUGACAACUUCCUGUUGAGCCCAGCUGGUCUGCGUUGUGUGCGUCAGAGCAUCAGAACCCGGCAACCAGUGGAUGAGCUGAAAAAAGGUCCUUUCAUGCUCCAGGUUCAAGUCCUGCUGUACAGACUUGUGGAUGCAGGCGUGGAAGUGGAUGUCCGUCUGUCGGCUUUUUCCCGACACAAAUGUCUUGUGUGGGAGAGCGUCGUCACGCUGCUGUCCGAAACCAAGCUGCCAAAGGCCGUCAAAGGUGGAGCCGAGAAGGAAAAUGAGGGUGAAAGUCAUGAAGUCGUGCUCACAGAUGCAAAGCAAGUGGAUCUCAGAGUUCCGCUGAGCACAGGCCCGCCGUGUCUCUGGUCCUUCUUCGACUGUUGGGUCGUCUUUCUGCCAGCUGCCCUCUUUGGCUUAAAUCUGCGUCCCGUUUCAAGUCUGUGGAUGUUGUCUGUCUGCCUGGCGGAAGUAGAGAAGCACAAUGGGGUUGGAGACGUCACAUCUCCAGUCAACGUCCUGGUCCAGUGGAAGGACCCUUUGCUGGCUCCAAGCAGAGUGAAGCUUUUGUUUUGGAAGUGUCCUACGCAAGAUCUCGUCUUUCAAAUGUGGCAACACAGCGGUCGCAGAAAGUGUCACCUAAUGGGAAAGAUAUCAAGGACUUAACAAAAAUGAGACCACUCCAGUUUAGCCGGGUGGUCACAUUGGAGCAUCACGUGACUUCCUGCCUGCACCGCCCGCUGUAAGGAGUUAUCGUGGAUGACGGGAGGGCGGGCGCCCAGCACCUCAGAUUCCCAAGCCAGGAACCAACAUCCAUUACUCGUACUGCAGAGCAGAGAGACAACAUAUCGUCCCUUUUUGGCCAUCUGACUUUUGACUACACAACUUGGCUCGAGAGGAAAAAGCACAUGAAGACGCACACACAGGAGGAGACUCCCUCACCCCCAGCAGGGGGCAGCACUGUGCAAGUGUGCCAUGAUUACCAGAAGGUGGUGUUGAAUAUGCAGUCUGCAUCAUGCAUGGAGCAGAAGUUCAGCACCAUGGAAGACGGCGCACAAAGGAGCUCCUUGUGGACCUUGGAUUCAAGCUCGCAGGUCUUCUCAGGUCCAGAAGACACCUCCACCGAUCCACAAGGGACCCGGACCGAGACUUCCACUCUGACUUUUGUUGACGGUCACGCCAUGGAGGAGUCGGGAGAGAACCCCAGCCUGCGUGAUCUGACCAGGCUUUACCUGAAAGACUUGGUGCUGAUAGAUGACGAGGAUGAUGGCGACAUGUCCCUGAGGGAGAAAACCGUCACCAACGUAUCCGUCAUGGACGGGAGAGCUGCAGACCUGGUCCGUGGCAGACUGCCUUCCACUUCUAGCCGCUCAGUGACCGAGUGCCAAAAUGAGUCUUGUGCUCCCAAAGUGUCUUCUCCUCAGCAGCACCGGUCUUCACGUGGAAACCAGCAAUGCUGCACCUGCAUCGUCCUCUGAUCACCAGUCUUGCAGUUGUUGUGUAUUUGUUGGUCGCGUGAUGGGUGAUGAGCCAAGAAGACGCCAACCGGGAACUGUCGAACAAAACGUUUUGUUUGUUUCAGCGAGCCUCAGACUAGAACUGCAGCUUCCAGGAGAAAUAGUAUGGGUCUGAUUACUUUUCUGUUGUGGACCACUGUCCAUGAAUACCUUUUUUUCCAUUCAUCCAUUUUCUACCGCUUAUUCCCUUUUGGGUUGCGGGGGGCGCUGGCGCCUAUCUCAGCUACAAUCGGGCGGAAGGCGGGGUACACCCUGGACAAGUCGCCACCUCAUCGCAGGGCCAACACAGAUAGACAGACAACAUUCACACUCACAUUCACACACUAAGGCCAAUUUAGUGUUGCCAAUCAACCUAUCCCCAGGUGCAUGUGUUUUGAAGUGGGAGGAAGCCGGAGUACCCGGAGGGAACCCACGCAUUCACAGGGAGAACAUGCAAACUCCACACAGAAAGAUCCCGAGCCUAGAUUUGAACCCAGGACUGCAGGAACUUCGUAUUGUGAGGCAGACGCACUAACCCCUCUGCCACCGUGAAGCCCAAUACCUUUUUCUUUUAAUUAUUAUUAAUUUAAAGGCCUACUGAAACUACCGACCACACAGUCUGAUAGUUUAUAUAUCAAUGAUGAAAUCUUAACAUUGCAACACAUGCCAAUACGGCCGGGUUAGUUUACUAAAUUGCAAUUUUAAAUUUUGGCGAAGUAUCCUGUUGAAAACGUCGGUCUGAUGACGCGUGUGCGUGACGUCUCGGAUUGUAGCGGACAUUUUCUUCCAGCCCUAUCCCAGCUAUAAAUCGUCUGCUUUAAUCGCAUAAUUACGCAGUAUUCUGGACAUCCAUGUUGCUGAAUCGUUCUAUUAAUAAUGGAGACGUCAAAGAAGAAAGACGUAGGUGGGAAGCGGUGUAUUGCGGCCGCCUUUAGCAACACAAACACAGCCGGUGUUUCCUUGUUUACAUUCCCGAAGGUGAAACUUUACUAUGGAACAGAGCGGUCAAGCGAACCUACCACAUGUCAACCGGCAGGUUUCGGUGUGAUAAUUGUGGUAAUAAGUCGUCUCUUACCGUAGACAUGAUCGGAGCUUGAGUCGUUCCUCGUGCACCUGUCAAGGAGGCAGCUGCGAUUCUCUUGCCUCCUCCGACCGGGCGCCCCCGAACGUGGGAUGCUUCCACCGGGGAGGAGGGGGAAAAAAAAUCUCAGCCCGGCCCCAACGGCUGCCUUCGCUUCGCCUCGUCGAGAAACGUGGCUUCCCUCAGAGACACUGGCGGUCAGCACACCCGUGGCCACACCCCUCCGACUUUCAGGAACCAUAUAAUCUCACUAAAACACUAGUAACGCAAUAAGCAGAUGGAUUUUCUAGAAUUAUCGUAGUAAAUGUGUCUAAUAACAUCUGAAUCGCUCCCACUGCCUUUGUCUUUUUUUUUCCUAGUCCUUCACUCUCACUUUUCUCAUCCACAAAUCUUUCAUCCUCGCCCAAAAUAUUGGGGAAAUUGUCACUUUUUCGGUCUGAAUCGCUCUCACUGCUGGUGGCCAUGAUUAUAAACAAUGUUCAGAUGUGAGAAGCUCCACAACCCGUGACGUCACGCACACACCGUCUGCUACUUCCGGUACAGGCAAGGCUUUUUUAUUAGCGGGCAAAAGUUGCGAAUUUUAUCGUCGAUGUUCUCUACUAAAUCCUUUCAGCAAAAAUAUGGCAAUAUCGCGAAAUGAUCAAGUAUGACACAUAGAAUGGACCUGCUAUCCCCGUUUAAAUAAGAACAUCUCAUUUCAGUAGGCCUUUAAAGUACCAAUGAUUGUCACACACACACUAGGUGUGGCGAAAUGAUUUCCUACAUUUGACCCAUCACCCUUGAUCACCGCCUGGGAGGUGAGAGGAGCAGUGAGCAGCAGCGGUAGCCGCGCCCGGGAAUAAUUUUUGGUGAUUUAACCCCCAAUUCCAAACCUUGAAGCGAGGAGGUAAUGGGUCCCAUUUUUUAUAGUCUUUGGAAUGACUCGGCCGGGGUUUGAACUCACGACGUACCAAUCUCAGGGCGUACACUUUAACCACAAGGCCACUGAGCAGGUUUUACACGAAGACCCCCACUCUUCAUAACCCCUUGGAGCCAGCCAGUGUGUUGCUUGGCCAGUCAAUCUAUUUCCCCUAAACAGUUUGAGUCGGGCGAAUUCCUCCCCCUAUCCUCUACUCCUAACUGUGAGGGCUUUUUAACAGAUAUUGCUAAUGUUUUUACACUUCCUCCUAUAAUCCACACCUGCAUUCCUGUAGGAUUCCAAUUUCCUGGGGGCAAGCACCACCACUCCCUGGAGAGCUUGUGAUGGACAUGCACUCUUUUGAAGCUACCUAAGGACACAUUUCCUAAGGAGGAAUAAUCCUCUAAAGGAUUAUUAAUUUUAAUUUAAGUCCAAAUAAAGUAAGACUUUCAAGUGAUUUUAUUCUUACCUGACUGCCUAAAGGGAGCUAACUAUAUAAUGUGCUCAAAGCUUUAUCUUCCCUCCUCUGCCUGAACUGAGAAAAUAAACUAUGCCACACACACACACACACACACACACACACACACACACACACACACACACACACAUUCUUGUGUUUGUUACCUUCUUGAGACCUCUGAAAAAUGCCUACCUCUUUAGGGCCACCCUUUCUUGAUAUAUAAAUUUGUGUUUACAACAAUAAUACAUACAUACUAUGCAAAUAUAAAACAGGUAAGCUUUUCGUAAAUUAUUAAAUUUUUUGUUUGUAAUUGUGUCAGUUUGUUGUUGACGAACCCCAAGAUGCAGAGAAGGAGGCAGGCAUUGAAUGAGAAAACAUGAUUUAAUAUAAAUACUAAAACAAGAACAAACAAAAAGGGUACAACAAAAAACGCAAGAGGCGGAUAACCAACUAAGAGAGCUAGCAUGGGAGCUAAAGAACAAAAGGAACUUAGCAUGGAAGCUAGCAAAAAAAAAAAGGGGCCUAGCGUGGAAGCUAGCGGGUAGUGAGCAGGAAAACAGAAGUCGUACUUGUAAUAUGAAAACAAACUGGAAGCAGGGAACAAAAAACAGUAAGCUACAAAUAUAGCUUAUCGCUACGCUGCAAAGACACGACACGGUACGACACAACAGGAGCGAUAAUACAUGACAUGAGAGCGACAUGACAAUCCAAUAAUCCAGCACUGACUGGAGAAACAAAGCAGGUAAAAUACGAGCAGGCUGAUUGACACCAGGUGUGGCCAGGUGCCAAUCAGCCGCAGCUGAGGGGAAAACGGCGCACAGGAGAAAAAACAGGAAACAGACAAAAGAAGAGCGCUGACAGGAACUAAAAACAGACACACACAGAGGAAAAACUAAAACACAACCAAACUAUCAGGGGCAAGCCUGACAAAUUGGUUUUUAAUCUUCAUUAUUUACUUCGUUAUUACAGUAUGUCUCUAUAUACAUAUUUAUUUUAUUGUUUUUUUUAAUUAAUUUUGGCCAAAGGGGGCGCAUUUCCAUUUCUUACACACACUUGUUAUUACAUAUGUUGACCAGAGGGGGAGCACUUUUAAAACCGACACAGUCGAUUUGAAAAAAUCCCUCCUGACAUUUUAUCUUGCCCGCACAAACCUGGAAAUAAUAUGUGUCAAUAAAGUACUUCAUAUUUUCU